AGCUUGCUGACGAGUGCCACAUAGCACGAAACCCAUGUCCAGUGU
rfam:Schistosoma margrebowiei strain Zambia genome assembly, scaffold: SMRZ_contig0004609